GACGAACGCUGGCGGCGUGCCUAAUACAUGCAAGUCGAGCGAAUCAAUAGGAGCUUGCUCCUGUUGGUUAGCGGCGGACGGGUGAGUAACACGUGGGCAACCUGCCUGUAAGACUGGGAUAACACCGGGAAACCGGUGCUAAUACCGGAUAAUCCUUUUCCUCACAUGAGGGAAAGCUGAAAGUCGGUUUCGGCUGACACUUACAGAUGGGCCCGCGGCGCAUUAGCUAGUUGGUGAGGUAACGGCUCACCAAGGCGACGAUGCGUAGCCGACCGGAGAGGGUGAUCGGCCACACUGGGACUGAGACACGGCCCAGACUCCUACGGGAGGCAGCAGUAGGGAAUCUUCCACAAUGGACGAAAGUCUGAUGGAGCAACGCCGCGUGAGCGAUGAAGGCCUUCGGGUCGUAAAGCUCUGUUGUUAGGGAAGAACAAGUACCGGAGUAACUGCCGGUACCUUGACGGUACCUAACCAGAAAGCCACGGCUAACUACGUGCCAGCCGCCGCAGUAAAAC
rnacentral:rRNA from 1 species